rnacentral:rRNA from 1 species
AUCGAUAAUCCACGUUANCUCUUACUUCAAUUUAAAAUUUAUAUACCGCCAUCUUAAGAAUUAAUUAAAAAUCUUUCUCUCAAUAAUUAAUAAAAAGUUAGGUCAAGGUGUAAUCUAUAUUAAAGAUUAGAUGAAUUACAUUAAAAAAUAUUUAAAGCUUAUCUUUACAUUUACAGAUAUAAAUAAGAAUUUAAAAGUAAUAUAUACAACAAUAAUUAUAUAUGAUAAAGAUAAUAAAUGUGCACACAUCGCCC